CCUAGGGUGUCUGCAGUGGGGAAUAUUGCACAAUGGGGGAAACCCUGAUGCAGCGACGCCGCGUGAGUGAAGAAGUAUUUCGGUAUGUAAAGCUCUGUCAGCAGGGAAGAAAAUGACGGUACCUGACCACUAAGCCCCGUCUAACUACGUGCCAGCAGCCGCGGUAAUACGUAGGGGGCAAGCGUUAUCCGGAUUUACUGGGUGUAAAGGGAGCGUAGACGGCAGGGCAAGUCUGGAGUGAAAGGCGGGGGCUCAACCCCCGGACUGCUCUGGAAACUGCCAGGCUGGAGUGCAGGAGAGGUAAGUGGAAUUCCUAGUGUAGCGGUGAAAUGCGUAGAUAUUAGGAGGAACACCAGUGGCGAAGGCGGCUUACUGGACUGUAACUGACGUUGAGGCUCGAAAGCGUGGGGAGCAAACAGGAUUAGAUACCCUGGUAGUC
rnacentral:rRNA from 1 species